rnacentral:rRNA from 1 species
AGAUUGAACGCUGGCGGCAUGCCUAACACAUGCAAGUCGAACGGUAACAGGCCUUCGGGCGCUGACGAGUGGCGGACGGGUGAGUAACACGUGGAAAUCUGCCCAUCGAUGGGGGACAACCUGGGGAAACUCAGGCUAAUACCGCAUACGUCCUACGGGAGAAAGCGGGGGAUCGCAAGACCUCGCGUCGAUGGAUGAGUCCACGUCCUAUCAGCUUGUUGGUGAGGUAAUGGCUCACCGAGGCUACGACGGGUAACUGGUCUGAGAGGAUGAUCAGUCACACCGGAACUGAGACACGGUCCGGACUCCUACGGGAGCAGCAGUGGGGAAUAUUGGACAAUGGGCAAAGCCUGAUCCAGCAAUGCCGCGUGGGUGAAGAAGGCCUGCGGUUGUAAGCCCUUUCGUCUGGAAGAAAGCUUGGCGCUAAUACCGCUGAGUCUUGACGUUACAGAAAAGAGCACCGGCUAACUCCGACGCCAGCAGCCG